rnacentral:piRNA from 1 species
UGAUAAACAACCUACCAUACUUUAUACA